rnacentral:sRNA from 1 species
AGCAGCCGCGGUAAUUCCAGCUCCAAUAGCGUAUAUUAAAGUUGUUGCAGUUAAAAAGCUCGUAGUUGAAUUUCGGGAUCAGUUCGCUGGUCAUGCCUCCGGUAUGUACUGGUGUUACUGGUUCCUACCUUCUGACGAACCGUCAUGUCAUUAAUUUGGUGUGGCGGGGAAUCAGGACUGUUACUUUGAAAAAUUAGAGUGUUUAAAGCAGGCUCGCGCUUGAAUACAUUAGCAUGGAAUAAUGAAAUAGGACGUUCGAUCCUAUUUUGUUGGUUUCUAGGAUUGACGUAAUGAUUAAUAGGGAUAGUUGGGGGCAUUAGUAUUCAAUUGUCAGAGGUGAAAUUCUUGGAUUUAUUGAAGACUAACUACUGCGAAAGCAUUUGCCAAGGAUGUUUUCAUUAAUCAAGAACGAAAGUUAGGGGAUCGAAGACGAUCAGAUACCGUCGUAGUCUUAACCAUAAACUAUG